AGAAUCAACGCUGGCGGCGUGCCUAACACAUGCAAGUCGCACGAGAAAGGGGACUUCGGUCCCUGAGUACAGUGGCGCACGGGUGAGUAACACGUGAAUUAUCUACCUUCGAGUGGGGAAUAACUGAGAGAAAUCUUAGCUAAUACCGCAUAAUACCUACGGGUCAAAGCAGCAAUGCGCUUGAAGAGGAGUUCGCGGCAGAUUAGUUAGUUGGCGGGGUAAUGGCCCACCAAGACGAUGAUCUGUAUCCGGCCUGAGAGGGCGCACGGACACACUGGAACUGAAACACGGUCCAGACUCCUACGGGAGGCAGCAGUGGGGAAUUUUGCGCAAUGGGGGAAACCCUGACGCAGCAACGCCGCGUGGAGGAUGAAAUCCCUUGGGAUGUAAACUCCUUUCGAUCGGGAAGAUAAUGACGGUACCGAGAGAAGAAGCCCGGCUAACUUCGCGCCAGCAGCCGC
rnacentral:rRNA from 1 species